rnacentral:lncRNA from 1 species
AUCUGAUUGAGUUAUAAGAACAGAUAUGGAGACUUGUUAAAAAAAAAGAACAGAUCUAGAGAUGAUGAUGAUGAUGUCUUUAGGUUGAAGGUGAAGAUCAAAGGCAGGGGUAAUUUAGUCAUUUCGUAUGGGUCUUGUUUCGUUAAGGGUAAAAUGGGAAGUUCAUGUACAAAAAGCUGAGUCAGCAAAGUCUUGACCCAGUCAGAUGGUGCCACGUCAUUGCCACAUCAGUAAUCACGUGCCACAUAGGCAAUAAGAAGUAAUUAGGACUAAAUUUUAAAUGCUUAAUAUUUGCAGGGGCAAAAUGGAAGGAUUAGUAAGUUCAGGGAUGAAAUUUC